rnacentral:rRNA from 1 species
GACGAACGCUGGCGGCGUGCUUAACACAUGCAAGUCGAACGAGGCCGGGGUGCUUGCACCCCGAGUCGAGUGGCGAACGGGUGCGUAACACGUGACCAACCUGUCCUAGGGUGAGGGACAACCUGGGGAAACCCGGGCUAAUACCGCAUGAUGUCCAGACUUCACAUGGAGACUGGAUCAAAGAGGGCCUCUGCUUGCAAGCUCUCGCCAAAGGAGGGGGUCGCGGCGUAUCAGCUAGUUGGUAGGGUAACGGCCUACCAAGGCUACGACGCGUAGUGGGUCUGAGAGGACGACCCGCCACAUUGGGACUGAGAUACGGCCCAGACUCCUACGGGUGGCAG